rnacentral:rRNA from 1 species
CCUACGGGAGGCAGCAGUGGGGAAUAUUGCACAAUGGGCGAAAGCCUGAUGCAGCGACGCCGCGUGAGGGAUGACGGCCUUCGGGUUGUAAACCUCUUUCAGUAGGGAAGAAGCGAAAGUGACGGUACCUGCAGAAGAAGCACCGGCUAACUACGUGCCAGCAGCCGCGGUA